AAUAUUGCACAAUGGAGGAAACUCUGAUGCAGCGACGCCGCGUGUGUGAAGAAGGUCUUCGGAUUGUAAAGCAUUUUAAGUUGGGAGGAAGAGUUGUAGGCUAAUACCUUGCAAUUUUGACGUUACCAACAGAAUAAGCACCGGCUAACUUCGCGCCAGCAGCCGCGGUAAUACGAAGGGUGCAAGCGUUAAUCGGAAUUACUGGGCGUAAAGCGCGCGUAGGUGGUUCGUUAAGUUGGAAGUGAAAGCCCCGGGCUUAACCUGGGAAUUGCUUUCAAAACUGACGAGCUAGAGUACGGUAGAGGGUAGUGGAAUUUCCUGUGUAGCGGUGAAAUGCGUAGAUAUAGGAAGGAACAUCAGUGGCGAAGGCGACUACCUGGACUGAUACUGACACUGAGGUGCGAAAGCGUGGGGAGCAAACAGG
rnacentral:rRNA from 1 species